rnacentral:rRNA from 1 species
AUUGAACGCUGGCGGCAGGCCUAACACAUGCAAGUCGAACGAGGGGCGGACGGGUGAGUAAUGUAUUGGAAACUGCCCGAGGGAGGGGGAUAACUACUGGAACCGGUAGCUAAUCCCGCAUACCAUAGGAUGGACACAUAUGGGAUUAGCUAUUAUGUGGGGUAACGGCUCACCUAGGCGACGAUCCCUAGCUUGUCUGAGAGGAUGACCAGCCACACUGGAAGUGAGACACGGCCCAGAUUCCUACGGCAGGCAGCAGUGGGGAAUAUUGCACAAUGGGCGCAAGCCUGAUGCAUCCAUGCCGCGUGUAUGAAGAAGGCCUUCGGGUUGUAAAGUACUUUCAGCGGGGAGGCGUUACUCACAGAAGAAGCACCGGCUAACUCCGUGCCAGCAGCCGCGGUAAUAC